UUAAGCGACUAAGCGUACACGGUGGAUGCCCUGGCAGUCAGAGGCGAUGAAGGACGUGCUAAUCUGCGAAAAGCGCCGGCGAGGUGAUAUGAACCUUUGACCCGGCGAUGUCCGAAUGGGGAAACCCAGUGUGUUCCGACACACUAUCGUUAACUGAAUACAUAGGUUAACGAGGCGAACCGGGGGAACUGAAACAUCUAAGUACCCCGAGGAAAAGAAAUCAACCGAGAUUCCCCCAGUAGCGGCGAGCGAACGGGGAGCAGCCCAGAGUCUGAAUCAGCUUGUGUGUUAGUGGAAGCGUCUGGAAAGUCGCACGGUACAGGGUGACAGUCCCGUACACGAAAAUGCACAGGUUGUGAACUCGAAGAGUAGGGCGGGACACGUGGUAUCCUGUCUGAAUAUGGGGGGACCAUCCUCCAAGGCUAAAUACUCCUGACUGACCGAUAGUGAACCAGUACCGUGAGGGAAAGGCGAAAAGAACCCCGGCGAGGGGAGUGAAAAAGAACCUGAAACCGUGUACGUACAAGCAGUGGGAGCACCUUCGUGGUGUGACUGCGUACCUUUUGUAUAAUGGGUCAGCGACUUAUAUUCUGUAGCAAGGUUAACCGUAUAGGGGAGCCGAAGGGAAACCGAGUCUUAACUGGGCGUUAAGUUGCAGGGUAUAGACCCGAAACCCGGUGAUCUAGCCAUGGGCAGGUUGAAGGUUGGGUAACACUAACUGGAGGACCGAACCGACUAAUGUUGAAAAAUUAGCGGAUGACUUGUGGCUGGGGGUGAAAGGCCAAUCAAACCGGGAGAUAGCUGGUUCUCCCCGAAAGCUAUUUAGGUAGCGCCUCGUGAACUCAUCUUCGGGGGUAGAGCACUGUUUCGGCUAGGGGGCCAUCCCGGCUUACCAACCCGAUGCAAACUACGAAUACCGAAGAAUGUUAUCACGGGAGACACACGGCGGGUGCUAACGUCCGUCGUGAAGAGGGAAACAACCCAGACCGCCAGCUAAGGUCCCAAAGUCAUGGUUAAGUGGGAAACGAUGUGGGAAGGCACAGACAGCCAGGAUGUUGGCUUAGAAGCAGCCAUCAUUUAAAGAAAGCGUAAUAGCUCACUGGUCGAGUCGGCCUGCGCGGAAGAUGUAACGGGGCUAAACCAUGCACCGAAGCUGCGGCAGCGACGCUUAUGCGUUGUUGGGUAGGGGAGCGUUCUGUAAGCCGUUGAAGGUGUGCUGUGAGGCAUGCUGGAGGUAUCAGAAGUGCGAAUGCUGACAUAAGUAACGAUAAAGCGGGUGAAAAGCCCGCUCGCCGGAAGACCAAGGGUUCCUGUCCAACGUUAAUCGGGGCAGGGUGAGUCGACCCCUAAGGCGAGGCCGAAAGGCGUAGUCGAUGGGAAACAGGUUAAUAUUCCUGUACUUGGUGUUACUGCGAAGGGGGGACGGAGAAGGCUAUGUUAGCCGGGCGACGGUUGUCCCGGUUUAAGCAUGUAGGCGGAGGUUCCAGGUAAAUCCGGUACCUUUUAACGCUGAGGUGUGAUGACGAGGCACUACGGUGCUGAAGUAACAAAUGCCCUGCUUCCAGGAAAAGCCUCUAAGCAUCAGGUAACACGAAAUCGUACCCCAAACCGACACAGGUGGUCAGGUAGAGAAUACCAAGGCGCUUGAGAGAACUCGGGUGAAGGAACUAGGCAAAAUGGUGCCGUAACUUCGGGAGAAGGCACGCUGAUAUGUAGGUGAAGCCCCUGCGGGUGGAGCUGAAAUCAGUCGAAGAUACCAGCUGGCUGCAACUGUUUAUUAAAAACACAGCACUGUGCAAACACGAAAGUGGACGUAUACGGUGUGACGCCUGCCCGGUGCCGGAAGGUUAAUUGAUGGGGUUAGCGGUAACGCGAAGCUCUUGAUCGAAGCCCCGGUAAACGGCGGCCGUAACUAUAACGGUCCUAAGGUAGCGAAAUUCCUUGUCGGGUAAGUUCCGACCUGCACGAAUGGCGUAAUGAUGGCCAGGCUGUCUCCACCCGAGACUCAGUGAAAUUGAACUCGCUGUGAAGAUGCAGUGUACCCGCGGCAAGACGGAAAGACCCCGUGAACCUUUACUAUAGCUUGACACUGAACACUGGUCCUUGAUGUGUAGGAUAGGUGGGAGGCUUUGAAGCGUGGACGCCAGUCUGCGUGGAGCCAUCCUUGAAAUACCACCCUUUAAUGGCUGGUGUUCUAACGUAGACCCGUAAUCCGGGUUGCGGACAGUGUCUGGUGGGUAGUUUGACUGGGGCGGUCUCCUCCCAAAGAGUAACGGAGGAGCACGAAGGUUAGCUAAUCCUGGUCGGACAUCAGGAGGUUAGUGCAAUGGCAUAAGCUAGCUUGACUGCGAGAGUGACGGCUCGAGCAGGUGCGAAAGCAGGUCAUAGUGAUCCGGUGGUUCUGAAUGGAAGGGCCAUCGCUCAACGGAUAAAAGGUACUCCGGGGAUAACAGGCUGAUACCGCCCAAGAGUUCAUAUCGACGGCGGUGUUUGGCACCUCGAUGUCGGCUCAUCACAUCCUGGGGCUGAAGUAGGUCCCAAGGGUAUGGCUGUUCGCCAUUUAAAGUGGUACGCGAGCUGGGUUUAGAACGUCGUGAGACAGUUCGGUCCCUAUCUGCCGUGGGCGCUGGAGAAUUGAGGGGGGCUGCUCCUAGUACGAGAGGACCGGAGUGGACGCAUCACUGGUGUUCGGGUUGUCAUGCCAAUGGCACUGCCCGGUAGCUAAAUGCGGAAAAGAUAAGUGCUGAAAGCAUCUAAGCACGAAACUUGCCCCGAGAUGAGUUCUCCCUGACCCUUUAAGGGUCCUGAAGGAACGUUGAAGACUACGACGUUGAUAGGUCGGGUGUGUAAGCGCAGCGAUGCGUUGAGCUAACCGAUACUAAUGAACCGUGAGGCUUAACCU
rnacentral:rRNA from 1 species